GGUCAGAGAGAGGAGACACAGAAUCCGAAACAGGCUCCAGGCUCUGAGCAGUCAGCACAGAGCCCGACGCGGGGCUCGAACUCACGGACCGCGAGAUCGUGACCUGAGCCGAAGUUGGCGGCUUAACCGACUGAGCCACCCAGGCGCCCCUGUGGUGGAAACUGAAAAUAAUUGAUUUUAGACCACGUCUUUCUGCUUUUCUGUUCCAAGCACUUAAAGCUUUCCUCUAUGCACCAUUCCAGCUGUACCCCACAACUUCUGACGUGCUGUAUCUUUAUUUCAUUUCGCUACAAACAUUUCCUGGUUUCCUUAUGAUUUCUUGGUCCCAUGGGAGAUUCAUAAAUUUACUGCUUAAUUUCCAAAUAUUUGGGCUUUUCUGAAUAUCAUAUAGCUCUCUAAUGUAAUUCUAUUGUAAUAAUAGAACAUACUCCUUUAAAAAAAUUUUUUUUAACAUUUAUUUAUUUUUGAGAGACAGAGAGAGACAGAGCAUGAACGGGGGAUGGGCAGAGAGAGAGGGAGACACAGAAUCGGAAACAGGCUCCGGGCUCCAAGCUGUCAGCACAGAGCCCAAUGCAGGGCUUGAACUCACAAACCACAAGAUCAUGACCUGAGCUGAAGUUGGACGCUUAACCGACUGAGCCACCCAGGCACCCCUAGAACAUCUUCUUAAAGAUUGCAGUCUUUUGAAAUGUAUCGAGAAUUACUAUAAAAUGUGCAUCUUCUAGUUGAUGUCGUGUCGAGUUGGCCAGUGGUGUUGUUCACACCCUGAGUACCAUUACCCCCUCUUUGCGUAUUUGUUCUUUCCCAGACUCAGAGAAGAGCAUUAAAAACUCUGGCUAAGA